rnacentral:lncRNA from 1 species
GGUUGUUUUUUAUUUUUACGUUUUUUUAUCUUCGAUUCUGUAUAAUUUUCUUCAAUAUUUUUUUCUUGCUUUGAUAGAGCUGAUUCCGUAUUUAUUUUUGUUUCUUUAUCUGAUUCAAACUCUUCUUGACCUGCUGAUUCGUUUUCUUCUUUAUUUAGAUUAAAAAACCGAAGGAAUUUUUUUUUCGUUUGAUGGUAUAAAACCUUUUUUCUUUAGGGUGAUCUGUUUAUUCACAUUUUUUGUUUCAUUAAAAUUGAAAAGAAGUAAUUUAAUUGGUAUGACCCACGGUUUCAUUUUAGUGAAUAACUAAAGAAAUUUUUUUUUUUGCAAACUUUACCUAUGAUAAUCCAAAACUCACCAUUACAAUGGGUGUAUGAUUCCAUUCUUGAAUGCAUUCGGACUUGCUCAACUCUUAAAGGUUUAAUAAUUGGGGAUGAACUAGGAACAUUCAUGGAAAGUCUGGUGACAAUGAAAUCAUGCAAUGUCAUUUUCUCAAACUGUGACUUGCAUGCAUUUUUGACUAUGAAUUAAUUUGCUAACUUGAAGGGUUCAAUUUUUGGUCAGAUAUGCAACAACAUAGCAACACAUAUAUCUCAUAUGGAGGUGAGUAUAUUUUAUAUAUUUUGUCAUACUUAACCAAAAUCAGUUGAUUCUUAUUGUUUCCAUUUUGUGUUGUAGAUGGGAAAAAUGGGCCAAAGAAACAUUCAAGAUCGUUGGGAAAACAGUGCUUUGAAUCUUUUUGGGAGGAUCAAGAUCGUUGGGAAAACAAUUUUUUGGAUCUUUUUGGAAGGACUGACUCUAAGAUUUAUAAAGAGGUACUUGAUUAGUUUCGUUGUUACUACAACUUCGGCAUUGGCCAUGCAGUGCGGAACGACAACAUUGUGGAAAAAGUCCUAUAAGAUCUCCAUGUGACAACCUAUGAUAAUUGUCUUACUUGGCAUACUUGGAAUUGUCGUCUAGCUACUGGAAUUCCACAUACUAUCAAGGUUAGUGAUUGAUUUGACUUUACAUAUUCUAUUAUUUGCUUUCAAUUAUUUGUUGAUACAAACUUGUCUCUUUUCCUUAAGUUGUUAGGUUACAGAUUUGAAAAAAAAAACUAGAAGAGUUUGUGGGUUUCAAGGCUCUGAUUCGGGUUUUAGAACAUGGUUUAAGAAUAAUACUCCAUAAUUUGGUUUAGCUACUUAUUAGAUCAUGGAAGCUAAAGCUUUCUGUUAGUAUAAACCAAAUCCCAAAGCUUAAGGUGAGAGACUGAUUUAUCUUCAGUAGGGUUUACUUUUGUAAUGUUUGUCAAACAUUUUUGCUUGCUAUCAGUUUUUCUGGAUAAAUUAAGUUUUUUUUAUUACAAACAAAGAGACUUGAACAGUUUAGAAGAAACACAUUAUCAGAUUGGGAUGGACCAGUAAAAAGAUAACUGUUAAAUUUGGUAAUUUGUAGACUCGUUAGAGUAAACUAUGAGUAGGAUUAUACAUUGAUGACAUAUGCAAGCAUUAUGGUGAAUUAGAAACGAUAAGUUAUGUAUUUAAUUAGCACUUGCCCAUUUACUCAAAAAUUAUGAAUUUGGGUCCAAUUUUUCAACACAUCAAAUCUGACCCAUGCUUUCAAAGGCUCAUCGAAUAGAUCUUUUGUUGGGUCAACGUUGAUAGCAUGAGCCUUGCAACUCUCUCCUCUUUGUUAUCUAUAAAAUUUUAUCCCCCACUUAAAAAACUCGAUAGCUAAUUCUUUGGCAAGCUCUAGCAGACCUUAGUUGUAGUUUUUUAAUUGAAGUUAGUAUUCUAUAAAUUGACAAAGUAUGUUAUUAUUUUGUUUUAAUGUUUUUCUUUGCAAACUUUACCUAUGAUAAUCCAAAACUCAUCAUUACAAUGGGUGUAUGAUUCCAUUCUUGAAUGCAUUCGGACUUGCUCAACUCUUAAAGGUUUAAUAAUUGGGGAUGAACUAGGAACAUUCAUGGAAAGUCUGGUGACAAUGAAAUCAUGCAAUGUCAUUUUCUCAAACUGUGACUUGCAUGCAUUUUUGACUAUGAAUUAAUUUGCUAACUUGAAGGGUUCAAUUUUUGGUCAGAUAUGCAACAACAUAGCAACACAUAUAUCUCAUAUGGAGGUGAGUAUAUUUUAUAUAUUUUGUCAUACUUAACCAAAAUCAGUUGAUUCUUAUUGUUUCCAUUUUGUGUUGUAGAUGGGAAAAAUGGGCCAAAGAAACAUUCAAGAUCGUUGGGAAAACAGUGUUUUGAAUCUUUUUGGGAGGAUCAAGAUCAUUGGGAAAACAAUGUUUUGGAUCUUUUUGGAAGGACUGACUCUAGAAUUUAUAAUGAGAUACUUGAUUAGUUUCGUUGUUACUACAACUUCGGCAUUGGCCAUGCAGUGCGGAACGACAACAUUGUGGAAAAAGUCCUAUAAGAUCUCCAUGUGACAACCUAUGAUAAUUGUCUUACUUGGCAUACUUGGAAUUGUCGUCUAGCUGCUGGAAUUCCACGUACUAUCAAGGUUAGUGAUUGAUUUGACUUUACAUAUUCUAUUAUUUGCUUUCAAUUAUUUGUUGUUACAAACUUGUCUCUUUUCCUUAAGUAGUUAGGUUACAGAUUUGAAAAAAAAACUAGAAGAUUUUAUGGGUUUCAAGGCUCUGAUUCAGGUUUUAGAACAUGGUUUAAGAAUAGUACUCCAUAAUUUGGUUUAGCUACUUAUUUCAUCAAUUUACUCUUCUUUUUUUUGGGUUUCCUUUUCGGAUCAUGGAAGCUAAAGCUUUCUGUUAGUAUAAACCAAAUCCCAAAGCUUAAGGUGAGAGACUGAUUUAUCUUCAGUAGGGUUUACUUUUGUACUGUUUGUCAAACAUUUUUGCUUGCUAUCAGUUUUUCUGGAUACAUUAAGUUUUUUUUAUUACAAACAAAGAGACUUGAACAGUUUAGAAGAAACACAUUAUCAGAUUGGGAUGGACCAGUAAAAAGAUAACUGUUAAAUUUGGUAAUUUGUAGACUGGUUAGAGUAAACUAUGAGUAGGAUUAUACAUUGAUGACAUAUGCAAGCAUUAUGGUGAAUUAGAAACGAUAAGUUAUGUAUUUAAUUAGCACUUGCCCAUUUACUCAAAAAUUAUGAAUUUGGAUCCACUUUUUCAACACAUCAAAUCUGACCCUUGCUUUCAAAGGCUCCUCGAAUAGAUCUUUUGUUGGGUCAACGUUGAUAGCAUGUGCCUUGCAACUCUCUCCUCUUUGUUAUCUAUAAAAUUUUAUCCCCCACUUAAAAAACUCGAUAGCUAAUUCUUUGGCAAGCUCUAGCAGACCUUAGUUGUAGUUUUUUAAUUGAAGUUAGUAUUCUAUAAAUUGACAAAGUAUGUUAUUAUUUUGUUUUAAUGUUUUUCUUUGCAAACUUUACCUAUGAUAAUCCAAAACUCACCAUUACAAUGGGUGUAUGAUUCCAUUCUUGAAUGCAUUCGGACUUGCUCAACUCUUAAAGGUUUAAUAAUUGGGGAUGAACUAGGAACAUUCAUGGAAAGUCAGGUGACAAUGAAAUCAUGCAAUGUCAUUUUCUCAAACUGUGACUUGCAUGCAUUUUUGACUAUGAAUUAAUUUG